CACGUAGGGGCCAAGCGUUGUCCGGAUUUAUUGGGCGUAAAGAGCUCGUAGGCGGCUCGGUAAGUCCGGUGUGAAACCUCCAGGCUCAACCUGGAGACGCCACCUGAUACUGCUGUGGCUAGAGUCCGGUAGGGGAGCGUGGAAUUCCUGGUGUAGCGGUGAAAUGCGUAGAGAUGUGGAGGAACACCAAUGGCGAAGGCAGCCUUCUGGGCCAACACUGACGCUCAUGCACGAAAGCGUGGGGAGCAAACAGG
rnacentral:rRNA from 1 species